UCGCAAUGCCCGAAAGGGUGACGAAGCGACGCCGCGUGCGGGAAGAAGGCCUUCGGGUUGUAAACCGCUGUCGGGAGUUAAGAAAUGUAAGGAUGUUAAUAGCAUCUUUGCUUGACUAAGGCUCCGGAGGAAGCCACGGCUAACUCUGUGCCAGCAGCCGCGGUAAUACAGAGGCGGCAAGCGUUGUUCGGAAUUAUUGGGCGUAAAGAGCACGUAGGCGGCUAUGUAAGUCGGUUGUGAAAGCCUUCCGCUCAACGGGAGAACAGCAUCCGAUACUGCAUGGCUUGAGUGCGGGAGGGGAGAGUGGAACUUCUGGUGGAGCGGUGAAAUGCGUAGAUAUCAGAAGGAACGCCGGCGGCGAAAGCGGCUCUCUGGCCCAUAACUGACGCUGAGUGUGCGAAAGCUAGGGGAGCAAACGGGAUUAGAUACCCCGGUAGUCCUAGCCGUAAGCGAUGGGCACUAAGUAGAGGGGUUUU
rnacentral:rRNA from 1 species